rnacentral:rRNA from 1 species
UACGUAGGGGGCAAGCGUUGUCCGGAUUUAUUGGGCGUAAAGAGCGUGUAGGCGGCUAGGUAGGUCCGUUGUGAAAACUCGAGGCUCAACCUCGAGACGUCGAUGGAAACCAUCUAGCUAGAGUCCGGAAGAGGAGAGUGGAAUUCCUGGUGUAGCGGUGAAAUGCGCAGAUAUCAGGAGGAACACCGAUGGCGAAGGCAGGUCUCUGGGCCAUAACUGACGCUGAGAAGCGAAAAGCAUGGGGAGCGAACAGGA